UACAGAGGGUGCGAGCGUUGUUCGGAAUUAUUGGGCGUAAAGGGCGCGUAGGCGGCGCCACAAGUCACUUGUGAAAACUCUGGGCUCAACUCAGAGCCUGCAAGCGAAACUGUGGUGCUGGAGUAUGGGAGAGGUGCGUGGAAUUCCCGGUGUAGCGGUGAAAUGCGUAGAUAUCUGGAGGAACACCGGUGGCGAAGGCGGCAUCCUGGACCAACACUGACACUGAGGAGCGAAAGCCAGGGGAGCAAACGGG
rnacentral:rRNA from 1 species